GUUAGAGACCUCAAGAUUCCAUAUAUUGUAUCGUAUCGGCUUUAUCUCACUUCUCUUCCAGAAACCUCCUCCACUACAGAUUGAACAUUGACAGGCGAUUCUCGCCACCAACAUGGACGAUCAUCAUCUAUUUUUCAUCCGUUCCUUACUCGACCAUCUUCACCGCCUCUUUAUCGACUUCACCUUCUUUCUGCUUCUCGCAAUCCUCACAUUCUUUGGAAAAAUCCGGUCGGCAUCACUACCACACCACCAACAUUCUAUAGUAUCUCCACGACUAUAUGUCGCUGGGUGGAUGGGUUUGUAAAAGGCAAAAGUGAAUCAAGUUUUCUCGCCGUUAGUAGUUCCUCCACGUUUUCUUCGCUUCUCUCGCAACACCGUCUAAUUCUUCUUCUUCUCAAUCAGUUGACAGGAUAACCACCGCUACCAAAAAAGCCCUAAGCUCAUCGACAGUGGAAGAAACGACGAUGUCUUACCGUUUGUCCAUGAAAUUCGCAACACGUUUCGUGGUUUGGCUUGACUUUCAUUCAACAUCAAAAUCGUUCUUUCAACACAUACAAUACCGCCUUCCUUCAGUAUCCUCUUGCUUCCAAUCAAAUAACAGAUCGAUAGACGCAAAAAGAAAGGAAAAGGUCGCUUGACCCGGACCCUGCCUCCUCACCGUCGAUUAUAGCUGUGCACCCUCCUAUGGUGCUAGGGCUCUAAUGGGACGACCGGUGUUACCGUGUUAUGAUCAAUCGAUGAUUGCCUCCAAAAUUUUAGUCACAAUUUCUCAGUCAGUGGCGUAGAUACGAGCAUGUUAACGUGAAAAUAUGCUCGAUUCGUAUAGCAGAGGGAGAACAAGAGGUUCCUAAUUGAUAACUCUUACUUUAUACCUACAACAAAGGGCACCAUAAUUUCGGGGCAACUGAGUAAACUUCGGCCACUUCAUCUCCUUUAUGCUCGAUUGAGAAAAACACAAGCCCAUUUCUAUGGCUACUAACCUCAACUUCUUCUCCUACAUUUAACUACAUGGAUUUAACUACAUGGAUGGAUCCCUGCUUCGCUUAUAUUUUUCAAGUAAACCAAGCCCAAGAGUACUAACCUACUUUUUAAAUAUAUUUUUAAAACAAUAGUUGCUUUAAGUAAAAUUAGUGUCAAGACUUUUGUAUUUGUUAUCUUUAAUAUAUUUUAAAAACAAUAAUUGCUUUGACUAAUUUCAUGUGGGUUCUGUGGAUUGGUUUUCAUUUACGUGUUUCUGAUGACCAUUUGGUAUAAUCCUGUUGGCUUUUGCAUAGGUUUAAUGGCACUACCUAUGCCUUUGUGCAACUACCACCAUUUCCGUUAGCACUACCUUCGUUGAAAAUCACAGGUGGUUCAAUGGCAAGGUACUAACUGGACCUAAAUCACUGCAGACUGCUUAAUUUCUGAUUUUACCCUUAUCUACCACUCGGGAAGCAAAGAGUGGAGGAGCUUGAAUUUAUAUUUGUUAUCUCACUGUCUUAUCCUAAUCAUCUAAUAGCUUAUUAGAUUCUUUUCAUUUAUGUAUAUCUAAUAGCUUAUUAGAUUCUUUUCAUUUAUGUAUACGUUAUUAGACUACAGUUUGUUAUUUGUCUAUUGUUUUUCUAUUAUAAAUUGUAGGUCCAGCAAUAGGUUAUUGAAAUUGUCACCCAUAUAGCUUUUACAACAUCAAAGUUGGCAAAAAAAUGUUUCCUACUUUGCAUAUCAGGUAAUUUUUAAAUUGUAAUUCUAAUUUCAUGUAUGUGAAUGAUAUAUAAUAAUGGAUAUUUGUUCUUUUUCUUAUAAAAAUAUUAUAACGCUGGUUCGAUAUUUGAAGGGCUACAUCAUCCAAAAUCUAACCAAAAUAUAAUAUUUCCUAAUAUGCCCUUCCUUCCUUGAUUUGUAUCUGUAAUGUCAAUUACUAACUUUUGAAGGUAUCUGUAAUUUGGAAUCAUUUCAUGCAGCCGAUUCAAAGUUUGACCAAAAUAUCCUUAUUAAGGAGUGUGCGGUAUCAUAGAAAAAGGGCUUGUGAAGACCCCAACCCUAUGAUGGAUUGAGGAAGAGGUAACUGUAAUAUCGCAUCUAUUGGUCGUUCUUGAGCUUCUCCUCAAGGAAGGAAUCAACAUGGGAAUAUUGCAUUUCAAGGGACAAAUACAAUGGGCCAAGGUGCAUCAUCAUAUUACAGUGGUGUAGCACCACCACUUGCUCCUCCUCCGCCACCUCCACCACCACCUUCUGUCAUGUACCCACCGUAUGGGUGACUUUUUCUUACACUUUGUGAAGUUUAGGUGAAAAAGUGAAGUUAAAAAAAAACAUUUAUAAAUUGAUAAAGAAAGUUGGUCUUGACAGAGGAUAAGUGGGUAAUGGGGGAAUACAUAUACAUAUAUGUUGUUGAAUUUUUUAUAAUUACUUGUGUUCCUUGCUUUAUUGCCAAGUUGGUUGCCAUUGCAGGUUACAUAAAACUGCAGACAACCUUCAGCUUUUUCAGAUUUAAAUGGUCUCAAUUAACUCUUUAUAUUAAUUAUAUAAACUCAUCAAUUAGUAAUUUUUUAAUGAAAAAAAGAUCGAUAUAAUUCGCUAUAAAAAUAGGAAAAUAUGUUCGGUUGUUUUUAAUUUAGGUUUUUGAAUCUACACUUCUUGGUUAAACUGUUUGUUUGAUUUACCAAGUUCUUUUCCUAUAUUAGUUAGUAUAUAAUGUCAGCUAAUUUAGUUAUUUCAUUUAUUUAAUGAGCUUUUUAUCAAGGAAUUUAUACUAAAAUCCGUCUAAAUGUGAUUGUAAAAGAAGUUGUUAAUUUGGCCAUUUGGGUCAUAAUGAUUUCUUCUACUAGGUAUUGAGCUUUGAAAAAUCUAUCUAAUUAUAACAUUGUACUUUUAAAUAUUUUUCUAAUUAUAACACUGCAGUCGAACGCAAAAAGGGAAGAAAGUUUCCCUUUUUUGCAUGAAGUCAUAAAGAAACAGAAAAAAGGAAAGUAUGUUGCUUUUUAACACGAUAAAAUAAAUCAUUUUUCAUAUUUACAGUAUGGCUGUUGUCUGAAGUGCUUUCUGCUGUUUUGUCCAUUUUACCCCUGCUUGGUAAAAACUUUAUACAAAAUAAUCCUUUUGUGAUGUUCAGAUUUUGGUAUUCUUCUCAAUCUAUGAUGAUAUCAGUUACCAUCAUGGACUUUUUAGGCAACCAAAACCACCUAAUCUGGUAUUAUCCACGUGCAUUUUUUGCAUAAUUUUUUUUUUGUCUAAAUCGUUUUAAUAUAUUAAUUGCUGUAAUAUUUUUUGUCCAUAAUGGAAUAAGAUUUCUCUAUGAAGAAAGUGUAUGGAGGGUGUUGGAUUGAUACAAUAAGUCUGACACUAUCCAAAAUGAUCUUAAAAUUAGUCUUUAUUUUCUGAUUUAUUUUACUUAAAUGAUGUUACGGAUUCCAUAAAUAUAAGCCAUUUCUCAUGAGGUUGGAGUCGUUAAAGAAGAUAGUAAAGGCUGGAAUUUGUCCCACCAUCUCCUGGACAUAGAAAAACUUAGGAAGAAGAAAUACUCACGGAUUGAAGGCUAUGCAGGACAUUAAAUGCACAUGUUAGCAAUGAACUUUCAUUCAUUAGUUUAGACUACUUUUAGAGUUCGUUUAUUAGGAUAUUGUAAUCCUAGGGUUAUUGGUGCUGUAUUGUAACUACAACUGGUGGAUUGACAUUAAGCAGUCUGCAGUGAUUUAGGGAUUGGUUGGUAUGGACAAUUUCAGAUUCUAAUACCCCUCCCGACCCAUUCUUUUUAAGUACUUAUUACUCUUGCCAAUUAA